rnacentral:tRNA from 1 species
CGGAGCGUAGCGCAGUCUGGUAGCGCACUUGAUUUGGGAUCAAGUGGUCGUAGGUUCGAAUCCUAUCGCUCCGACCA